rnacentral:rRNA from 1 species
UACGAGGGGGCGAGCGUUGUUCGGAAUUAUUGGGCGUAAAGGGUGCGUAGGCGGUUUGAUAAGUCUGAUGUGAAAUCUAUGGGCUCAACCCAUAGCCUGCAUUAGAAACUGUCGGGCUUGAGUAUGGGAGAGGUGAGUGGAAUUUCCGGUGUAGCGGUGAAAUGCGUAGAUAUCGGAAGAACACCUGUGGCGAAGGCGGCCAACUGGACCAUUACUGA